GCCCGGUUAGCUCAGUCGGUAGAGCGUUCGGCUUUUAUUAGAAUACACCGAAAUGUCGGGGGUUCGAGCCCCCCAUUGGGCG
rnacentral:tRNA from 1 species